GCCGAUCCCCUUCCGAUGUCGGAAGCCAGUUUUGUCUUCCUGGGUGAUUUGACGCAGUCGCGGUACACCUGCAUCCAAGUUCGCUCUGCUUCGAUUGUGUGGAACACGGCGUACAAUACGUAACCCUGUCGCAAAUGGAAGGGGACAGGAAGUUUUGGUAUUACACGGGCUCUUCCACUGGCACAACGUGGGACGCUUCGCAGGCAAUCGCUACACUGACAUUGUUUGUGCCAAUUUGUUCUUGAUUUUGUGAUUGUUGUUUGCUGAGAGGGCCCUGCGUCACGGCAACGAUGCAGGUUGAGAACGCCCUCAUGUGGAGGCGCGCCAGAGAAAAGAGCCUGCUGAAGUGCCAACAGUGCAAUUACACCACCCGCCAACGAGGCCACAUGAACCGGCACAUGGUGGUGCACACGGGCAAGCGCCCCUUCGGGUGUCACCUGUGCCCCAUGGCGUUCAGCCGCCAAGCCAGCCUGGCCGAUCACGUGCAAACGCACAGCCGCAGCAAGAAGUUCCAGUGCCGCUACUGCCCCGUCACGUUCACCGACCGGUCUGCCCUCUGGCGGCACUUCACUGUAAUGCACUUCACGCCGUAGAAUUGUGUCGGCAUGUUUUGCUGCACAGCACAAGGCCACGGCUCUGGGUCCUUGCUGCCGCAGUGACAUUCCAUUGGGUGUGAAGGGCAAGGAUGCUUGUGUACAUGGAUUACGGCACACGUUAAAGAACAAGAAGAAGAAAAGAAAGCUUGUGUUGCAUUUGAA
rnacentral:lncRNA from 1 species